rnacentral:tRNA from 1 species
CGCGGUAGCUCAGUUGGUAGAGCAGCGGACUGAAAAUCCGCGUGUCGGCGGUUCGAUUCCGCCCUGCGG